AUACCCUUCACUACCUUUUGGCUGAAAGCAAGUGUAAUAUCUGUUGUUAGCACUUUAAUAUCUGAUGUGCCCUGUAUUCAAAGACAAUGUAUUAUGUGGAUUUUUGGAGCAGGGAGAGGGGAAAGAAAUUCGCUCCAUGCACUCCACACACCCACUUGGUAUUGUAGUACCUCCAGGAGGAAGGAUGCACUCCCU
rnacentral:snRNA from 1 species